rnacentral:rRNA from 1 species
UACGGAAGGCAGCAGUGGGGAAUAUUGCACAAUGGGCGCAAGCCUGAUGCAGCCAUGCCGCGUGUAUGAAGAAGGCCUUCGGGUUGUAAAGUACUUUUCAGUCGUGAGGAAGGUGUUAAGGUUAAUAACCUUAGCAAUUGACGUUAGCGACAGAAGAAGCACCGGCUAACUCCGUGCCAGCAGCCGCGGUAAUACGGAGGGUGCGAGCGUUAAUCGGAAUUACUGGGCGUAAAGGGCACGCAGGCGGUUAAUAAGUUGGAUGUGAAAUCCCCGGGCUUAACCUGGGAAUGGCAUUCAAGACUGGUUAGCUAGAGUCUUGUAGAGGGGGUAGAAUUCCAUGUGUAGCGGUGAAAUGCGUAGAGAUGUGGAGGAUACCGGUGGCGAAGGCGGCCCCUGGGACAAAGGCUGACGCUCAUGUGCGAAAGCGUGGGGAGCAAACG